rnacentral:rRNA from 1 species
UACGGAGGAUGCAAGCGUUAUCCGGAAUGAUUGGGCGUAAAGCGUCCGCAGGUGGCUGUGUAAGUCUGCUGUCAAAGAGCGAAGCUCAACUUCGUAAAGGCAGUGGAAACUACACGGCUAGAGUGCGUUCGGGGCAGAGGGAAUUCCUGGUGUAGCGGUGAAAUGCGUAGAGAUCAGGAAGAACACCGGUGGCGAAGGCGGGUCUCUGGGCCGAUACUGACGCUGAAGCGCGAAAGCCCAGGGGAGCAAACGGG